CAGUCGCCGCGGUAAUACGAAGGGUGCAAGCGUUAAUCGGAAUUACUGGGCGUAAAGCGUGCGCAGGCGGUUGUGUAAGACAGGUGUGAAAUCCCCGGGCUUAACCUGGGAACUGCGCUUGUGACUGCACAGCUAGAGUAUGGCAGAGGGGGGUGGAAUUCCCGGUGUAGCGGUGAAAUGCGUAGAGAUCGGGAGGAACAUCAGUGGCGAAGGCGGCCAUCUGGGACAACACUGACGCUGAGGCACGAAAGCGUGGGGAGCAAACAGGAUUAGAUACCCCUGUAGUCCCUGUCUCUUAUAC
rnacentral:rRNA from 1 species